AUUGAACGCUGGCGGCAUGCUUUACACAUGCAAGUCGAACGGUAACAGGCCGCAAGGUGCUGACGAGUGGCGAACGGGUGAGUAAUGCAUCGGAACGUGCCCAGUCGUGGGGGAUAACUACUCGAAAGAGUAGCUAAUACCGCAUACGAUCUAUGGAUGAAAGCGGGGGACCGUAAGGCCUCGCGCGAUUGGAGCGGCCGAUGUCAGAUUAGGUAGUUGGUGGGGUAAAGGCUCACCAAGCCGACGAUCUGUAGCUGGUCUGAGAGGACGACCAGCCACACUGGGACGGGGACACGGCCCAGACGCCUACGGGAGGCAGCAGUGGGGAAUUGUGGACAAUGGGCGCAAGCCUGAUCCAGCAAUGCCGCGUGCAGGAAGAAGGCCUUCGGGUUGUAAACUGCUUUUGUACGGAACGAAACGGCUCUGGUUAAUACCCGGGGCUAAUGACGGUACCGGAAGAAUAAGCACCGGCUAACUACGUG
rnacentral:rRNA from 1 species